rnacentral:lncRNA from 1 species
CCUCUCCUGCCCAUGGUGGGAGGUUGGGAAGGACAUUCCCCCAUUUCCAUUUGCUCUGCCAUUCAAAACCUUGUGAGGGCCCUCAGGGAAGAAUCCCUUUGCAGGUCAUAAACUGACCUGCAGAAUUAUGGGAUCUUAACUGUGGGGAGAGACCUAGAAGACCGGCUAGUGACCAGAUUCUCAUCUAACUCCUUUUUUUUUGCAGAUGAGGAAACUGAGGCCCCACGUGGUGAAGACAAUUUUUACCCGAAUCCACCCACAACAAGAGACCAUUUGGAUAAUGUACAUUAUGGGAAGAGAACAGAGUCUCAGUGAAGAUCAUGUUUCCCCAGCAACACAGGUGCCAGGAGUAGCUGGCUCUGGUCCCAGCCCAGACUCAGAAAUCCUGAGCCACCAGACCAUUUCUAGAUUAACAAAGGCCUGCAUUAAUUUGAUUUCAGUGACCCACUGGAAACCAGUGUCAGCAUAACAACAGUUACGAGAGCUAAACCUACAAAAUAGAAACACAAGUAAAACUUGUUCAAGUGGUUUGCAGUCAUUGAACAUAGAUCAGCUCCUAUGAAAACAAACUCCAUGGAACACAGGAGCUAUGUGGAGAGUUGAUGGAGGGACAUUCCAGGCAGAGAGAACAGCAAACACAAAGGCCUUGAAGGGCUCAACACCACAUGGAAGCUGCCAAGGCUUGGGGCUCGCACCAUCUGAAGACAUGGUCUGAACUCUACGUUGGCCCUUUCAGCC